GACGAGGGAUCCUAGCGUUGUUCGGAAUUAUUGGGCGUAAAGCGGGUGUAGGUGGCUAUGUAAGUCAGGUGUGAAAGCCUGGGGCUCAACCCCAGAAGUGCAUCUGAUACUGCGUAGCUUGAGUGGUAGAGAGGAUAGUAGAAUUCUUGGUGUAGUGGUGAAAUUCGCAGAUAUCGGGAGGAACACCGGUGGCGAAGGCGGUUCUCUGGGCCUUACCUGACACUGAGGCACGAAAGCUAGGGGAGCAAACAGG
rnacentral:rRNA from 1 species